rnacentral:rRNA from 1 species
AACGGCCAUGCCAUGCAGAAUAUACCGGUUCUCGUUAGAUCACCGAAGUCAAGCAUCAUUGGGCGCGGUCAGUACUUGGGUGGGUGACCACCUGGGAACACUGCGUGCUGUU